ensembl:lncRNA
AAUACACGCAGGUGCUUGGGAGUUCCCCACUGGGUCACCCCAAGGACCUUUCAGCCCACCCUCCUUGACACUGGCCCAUCCCAGCUUCUGUUGAUGAAAAAUGCCUCCGUGUCCUUUGGUAAAAUUUCUAUUCGUUCUUCAGCUCAUCCUUUCGUUCAGCGGGCUUUGGCCCCUGCCAGUCUGUGUAGUUCACAAAGGAAGGGGCAAAGUCUUUAGCCAAGUCCCUGCUCUGGCACCAACUUGCCCUGUGACUUCGUUUCUUUCCUUUUUUUUUUUUUUAAUGGCCGCACCCACGGCAUAUGGAGGUUCCCAGGCUAGGGGUCCAGUCGGAGCUGUAGCCACUAGCCUAUGCCACAGCCACAGCCACAGCAACUCGGGAUCUGAGCCAUGUCUGGGAUCCCAGCUCACGGCAAUGCCAGAUCCUUAACCCACUGAGCGAGGCCAGGGAUGGAACCCGAAUCCUCAUGAAUACUAGUCAGGUUCAUUACCUCUGAGCCAUGACAGGAACUUCCUGUGGUUUGGUUUCUUUACCGGAAAAGGGGAUUGUUGGAGGAUCAGAAGAGCUGAAGAAUGACUGGCAACCUCAAGGACACUCCAGGGUUAGGGGUCACAUCCACCCUCUGGGGGUUGCGCACAUCAGAAAUACUUGCCUACCAGGCACCGGCAGGCAGCCCUCCCAUCAUCUGCCUGCCGUGUCACAGGGUGGCCACCUCACCCUAAAGCCACGCAGGUUGUGGCUUGGCAGGACUCCUGCUUUUGCCUCUUCCUGCCAAAGGGAUCUCUCCCCCCUCCCCCCUCCAAAACAGCCCCCCGACCCCCAGCUGACCUGUCUAGGGCCUCCAGUCCUGGGGUAGCCUGAGAAGCCCUGAGGACCCCCAGGGAGUUUCUGGGUGGCAGGUGGGAGCCAGGUGCAGUCCUGGCUUGGGGACAGAGCAGCCUCAAGAAUGUCUUCCUCCUGUGGGUGUUUCGAGGGUCUGGCCUCAUCAGCACCUCCACUCUCUCCUUAUCUGCCCCCAGGGACACCAAGUGGAGGGGGAAGGAAGCCACCUCCCAGCCUUUGGGGAAUGCUGGGGACCUGGAGGCAGGAUGCUGAGGCAGCAGAAGCAGCACCCCAGGCUGGAGGGCAGGGUGCGGAGCCCCCUUGGUGCGGCUUCCAGGACAGAGCACCUGCUCCUGGACGAGAUGGACGAGAUGGAAAACUGGCUUCCAGAGUGAAGCUGGGGCUGCCGUGCCUGCCCUACCCCAAACCGCUGCCCUGGGGAAUGUCGCCCCUCCUCACAGGGCUGGUCAGAGAGCCCUGGGGCCAAGGGGUCUUAAGAUACAUGGUGUUCCUGUGUCUGCAGGGUGGGCCUGCACAGCAUACUCUCCCCACCUAUCAGACCCAGGCCUCGGAUGUUCAAAUAAAACUGUUUGACUUUGGCCUCCUUGGCUGCCUGUCUGGGCCCCACCCCCACCCACAACCUGGGGACAAGCUCAGUUCCUGCAGGGUCUCCAUCGAGUCUAGUGGCCCAGGUUUGGUGCACCUGGCCUGGGGGCGGGGAGCCUUGCGGCCACAAGACCUGCCCCUCCUGCCUAAGUUCCUCAGAGGGAGGAUCCGGGAAUUCUCCUUACAGGAAGUCCCUGCCCAGCCAGUACAGGGACAAAGCCAGGAAAGCAGCCCUGGGGCCAUGGGAACCUGCCUCAGGCUGGGCUGGGGGCAGGUGAGGGGUCCCUGCCAGGCGCAGUGCCAGGCACCUCUGGGGAUCUGGGUGGAGGCAUCUGGAGGGCCCAGGUCUGCCCAGGCCCAGAAGCAACCUGGCUUUGUUGGGAUCCAGUGGGAGGGUGGGCCCUGCCCAGCUUAGACACCUGGAGGUCCUGCUGGCUCCUGGUAGGACCCUGGUGCCUUUGGUCCCCCGCUGGUCCAGGCCCUGAGUCUCCACACACGUGCGAGAGCUCGCAUCGCCUGCCCGACUCCUAUCAGCACAACUGCUGUGCACAGAAGCUGGCCUGGCUUCCCCGUGGGGCCCCCUCUGGGUCUAGCCCUCGGCCUGUGGCAGAGCUGAAGUUCAGUGUCAGAGCAGGCAGCCACUCUGAAUUAUUGCUGUGAUUGGUCCCAACAGCUCUCGGGUGGGUGGAUGGCCUUGCUUGGGGUUGGGGGAGGGAACUCCAGCAACCUGGCCUCCUGCUGCAGCCCUGCCCAGCCUAGUGAGGAUGGGGGGUCCCGGCCAGCCGCUGGGGCGGGGGUUGGGGGGAGACCUGGAGAAGGUAGUGAUUCACAAGUGGGCUGGGGCUUCUUUUUCUCCUGGGCUUCCCGGUCAACCCCCACCCCUGGAAUCCUUGACUCAGGCUCUGAGGUGGAGCUGGUGGAAGGGCCCAUCUGGACUGUCCCCUGAGUCAGCCGGGAGCAGCCUUGUGACCAUAUGACUCACCUGUGCCCUGAUUACUUCCUCCCAGAGUCUCAGCUGUUGGGAAGGGGGAGCUGUGGAGGGAGGCCUGUGGGCUCCCUGGUUGCGCAUAGACUCCUCUCUGCCUUCCCCCUUCCUAAUGGACCCCCAGACCCGCUGCCAGCCACACCUGGGCUGGAGGGGGUCUCCGGGCCGCCCCCUGCCCCGUUGCCUCCUGGGUGGGGCCAGCCAGCAGCUCCUGGGCACCAGCAGGCAGCAAGUGAGCCACUUGGCCGCUCAGAGAGAGCAUCUCAUCCUCGGACCCCACAAGGUUGGGGCUACCGGGGGUGAGGGGAACUGCUCCUCUCUGCUCCUCUUCCCUUGCUGUCGAGGGAAGCUCAUGGCUCCUCCUUGUCCCCCCCACCCCCUAUUCCUACAAAACUAGGGGUAGGAAGGUCCAAGGCUGGGGGGCGAUGACAGCUGGCUCCUGGACAGCUUUCUGUGGGCCUGGCCUGAAGCUCACAAGUGGCGAAGGCGGGGUGAGGUGGCCCAGGGGGAGGGGAGGCCCAGGGGCAGGGGCAGAGUGCUGGGCGCAGGCUCGCUGCCCACACGGAGACGUGCCGGGUGUUCCUGCAAGGUUUUGAGGGGACCCUGCAGAUGCAUCUGUGGGUCUGAUCUAUGACGGGGCAGGGUUUAGAGUUGUCUCCUCCUCCCCUCCAGCUGUGGCUCAAAUACUUAUUAAUCACCUACUCCAUCCUGUUCUAGGCCCGGGGAACAGAGCAGGGAACAACAUACAAAACCUUCAUGGUUCUGAGCAUUUGUUACUGCUGCUGUCGCAGACCUGGAGGGACAGGUACUAUGAGGAAAAAGGUGAGCCUGAGUCAGGGGUGCUGCUUCAGAAAGAUGGGAUGAGAAAGGACUCUCUGAGGAGGUCAGGAAUUGAGUCAGGAGCUGUGGGGAUGUUGGGGAAGGGCUUUCCAGCAGAGGGAACAGCAAGGGCAGAUGCCCUGAGGCAGAGCAGGCCUGGGGUGUUUGAGGCACCAGGAGAUUGUGGCAGAGCAGAGCCAGGGGGAGGAGGAGUAAUAGGGGUGCGAUCCGGAGGGAGGGAGAUCAUGGUCUUUGCUGAUCUCGUUUUGGGGGGUUAUUUUAUCAGACUGAGGAGUAACCUGAUGUGGUUUACAUUUUAAAGUCUCCCUUGGGAGUCCCCUCUCUGGUACAGCGGGUUAAGAACCUGACUGCGGUGGCUCCGGUUGCUGCAGAGGCAUGGAUUCAAUCCUCAGCCAGGUGCAAUGGGUUAAGGAUCCAGUGUUGCCACAGUUGCACUCAGAUUCAGUCCCUGGCCUAGAACUUCCAUAUGCCAUGGGUGCGGCCAUUAAAAAAUAAUAAUAAAAAUGUGAGGAGUUCCCA